rnacentral:misc_RNA from 1 species
AAAAAUAUUUAUCAUGCAUGCAUCCAUAUGGGCCGACCUGUUUAUGGUUUGACGACGACACGGCGGCCGCCGGCCGGCGAGCUCCUGAUAAGCACGGCACCACCCUUCUGCUGCCAUUUCUCACCCACAAUGAUGACGCACGUGACCUUUUCAUGGCUCAUGCCAAGAAAGGAAGAAACCGACGUCGUCUUGGCGUGUCCGAUUCUGGCAGAUCUUAUCCCCCAUUUCGGUCUUCACCUUUCCCUCAGCAACCAGCACCACCCUUUGCUGCUACUGCUAGAGCUACGGGUGAAGGAAACGUUC